CACAAAGCAGGUACAGCACAGGCAGUGUCAGUGCAAGCUUCCUCACACUGCCAUACCUGUCCACCUCAUCCUCAUCCUGCAGCAGCCAUUUCUGGG
rnacentral:sRNA from 1 species